rnacentral:rRNA from 1 species
CGGGGUGCAGCAGGCGCGAAAACUCUACAAUGCAGGCAACUGCGAUAGGGGGACAUCGAGUGGCAUCCACCUUGGGUGCCUGUCCAACCGUCUAAAAAACGGUUGUUAGCAAGGGCCGGGUAAGACCGGUGCCAGCCGCCGCGGUAAUACCUGCGGCUCGAGUGGUGGCCGAUAUUAUUGAGUCUAAAGGGUCCGUAGCCGGCUUUGCAAGUCCCCUGGGAAAUCCAGCGGCUUAACCGUUGGGCUUUCAUGGGAUACUACAUUGCUUGGGACUGGGAGAGGUAGGAGGUACUCGAGGGGUAGGGGUGAAAUCCUGUAAUCCUUCGGGGACCACCGGUGGCGAAGGCGUCCUACCAGAACAGGUCCGACGGUGAGGGACGAAAGCUAGGGGCACGAACCGGAUUAGAUACCCGGGUAGUCCUAGCCGUAAACGAUGCCCGCUAGGUGUCACGACGGUCGUGAAUCGUCGUGGUGCCGUAGGGAAGCCGCGAAGCGGGCCACUUGGGAAGUACGACCGCAAGGUUGAAACUUAAAGGAAUUGGCGGGGGAGCAC